rnacentral:pre_miRNA from 1 species
AGUGUAAUUGCUGGAUCAUAUGGUAAGAAUAUGUUUAGUUUUGUAAGAAACUGUCAAGCUGUCUUCCAAAGUACCGUUUUGCAUUCCCAUCAGGGAU